rnacentral:rRNA from 1 species
UACGUAGGGUGCAAGCGUUGUCCGGAAUUAUUGGGCGUAAAGAGCUCGUAGGCGGUUUGUUGCGUCGGCUGUGAAAUCCCGAGGCUCAACCUCGGGUCUGCAGUCGAUACGAGCAAACUAGAGUGUUGCAGGGGAGACUGGAAUUCCUGGUGUAGCGGUGAAAUGCGCAGAUAUCAGGAGGAACACCGAUGGCGAAGGCAGCUCGCUGGGACGUGACUGACGCUGAGACGCGAAAGCGUGGGGAGCAAACAGG